rnacentral:rRNA from 1 species
GAUGAACGCUGGCGGCGUGCCUAAUACAUGCAAGUCGAGCGAACGGACGAGAAGCUUGCUUCUCUGAUGUUAGCGGCGGACGGGUGAGUAACACGUGGAUAACCUACCUAUAAGACUGGGAUAACUUCGGGAAACCGGAGCUAAUACCGGAUAAUAUUUUGAACCGCAUGGUUCAAUAGUGAAAGACGGUCUUGCUGUCACUUAUAGAUGGAUCCGCGCCGCAUUAGCUAGUUGGUAAGGUAACGGCUUACCAAGGCAACGAUGCAUAGCCGACCUGAGAGGGUGAUCGGCCACACGAGAACUGAGACACGGUCCAGACUCCGACGGGAGGCAGCAGUAGGGAAUCUUCCGCAAUGGGCGAAAGCCGGACGGAGCAACGCCGCGUAAGUGAUGAAGGUCUUCGGAUCGUAAAGCUCUGUUAUUAGGGAAGAACAAAUGUGUAAGUAACUGUGCACAUCUUGACGGUACCUAAUCAGAAAGCCACGGCUAACUACGUG